CAGCCGCCGCGGUAAAACGUAGGGUGCGAGCGUUAAUCGGAAUUACUGGGCGUAAAGCGUGCGCAGGCGGAUAUUUAAGUCAGGGGUGAAAUCCCAGAGCUCAACUCUGGAACUGCCUUUGAUACUGGGUAUCUUGAGUUCGGGAGAGGUGAGUGGAACUGCGAGCGUAGAGGUGAAAUUCGUAGAUAUUCGCAAGAACACCAGUGGCGAAGGCGGCUCACUGGCCCGAUACUGACGCUGAGGCACGAAAGCGUGGGGAGCAAACAGGAUUAGAUACCCCAGUAGUCCCUGUCUCUUAUAC
rnacentral:rRNA from 1 species